AUUCGAAUCAUACUUUGAAGAUAAUUUCUGGAAGAUCUGCCCUGAAGUUGGAUGGGAGGAAGGUCAAAGCCACCUCUAUUGCUGGGAAUUCCGAAGACCAGAUCCCAAAAAAAAUGGAAUAACCCCUUCAAGGCUCUCUGUGAAAACACUGCUGGGUUCAGCUCUGCAUCAGCACAUCCUUUGGGACAGAUUGGAUACUUAGUUUGGAUUUGUUAACAUUGCUGGUCAUAAAAAUGUCUGCUUCAAAGAAACUGAUAGAUACUGUCCUUAGGAAUUUGGGCUUUGAUGCCUUAUUUGAUUUCCAU